UACGUAGGGUGCAAGCGUUGUCCGGAAUUAUUGGGCGUAAAGAGCUCGUAGGCGGUUUGUCGCGUCUGCUGUGAAAACCCGAGGCUCAACCUCGGGCCUGCAGUGGGUACGGGCAGACUAGAGUGCGGUAGGGGAGAUCGGAAUUCCUGGUGUAGCGGUGAAAUGCGCAGAUAUCAGGAGGAACACCGGUGGCGAAGGCGGAUCUCUGGGCCGACACUGACGCUGAGGAGCGAAAGCGUGGGGAGCGAACAGG
rnacentral:rRNA from 1 species